GGGGAAUAUUGGACAAUGGGCGAAAGCCUGAUCCAGCAACGCCGCGUGAGGGAUGACGGCCUUCGGGUUGUAAACCUCUUUCAGCAGGGACGAAGCGAAAGUGACGGUACCUGCAGAAGAAGGACCGGCCAACUACGUGCCAGCAGCCGCGGUAAUACGUAGGGUCCGAGCGUUGUCCGGAAUUAUUGGGCGUAAAGGGCUCGUAGGCGGUUUGUCGCGUCGGGAGUGAAAACUCAGGGCUCAACCCUGAGCGUGCUUUCGAUACGGGCAGACUAGAGGUAUUCAGGGGAGAACGGAAUUCCUGGUGUAGCGGUGGAAUGCGCAGAUAUCAGGAGGAACACCGGUGGCGAAGGCGGUUCUCUGGGAAUUACCUGACGCUGAGGAGCGAAAGCAUGGGGAGCGAAC
rnacentral:rRNA from 1 species